CAUGUAGGCGGUUGUUUAAGUCUGAUGUGAAGGCCCUGGGCUCAACCCAGGAAGUGCAUUGGAUACUGGACAACUUGAGUACGGGAGAGGAAAGUGGAAUUUUGAGUGUAGGGGCGAAAUCCGUAGAUAUUCGAAGGAACACCAGUGGCGAAGGCGGCUUUCUGGACCGAUACUGACGCUGAGAUGCGAAAGCGUGGGGAGCAAACA
rnacentral:rRNA from 1 species